rnacentral:lncRNA from 1 species
AUUUAUGGAACAUAACACCGGUAGCCGAAAACUAAGGGGGCAAAGGUGGAACAAAACACCAGGCUAGAAAGGCCGAGCCUUCCACCUUGUACCAAGUAUAUAGGUGCAUUAAAUUAAAUGGCAUUUAAUAGGGUGAUAUGACAAGGAACCCAUGUUUUCACAUGGAAGCAACUGCACCUGCAACUAACAACGCUAACAACAGGAUUAAGCAAGCAGUAACAUAGCCAAUCAGUGGUUUGCUAGGUCGAACAGGUUGAAGGUAAUCAUGG